UACGGAGGGGGCUAGCGUUGUUCGGAAUUACUGGGCGUAAAGCGUGCGCAGGCGGUUUUGUAAGUCAGAUGUGAAAUCCCCCGGGCUUAACCUGGGGAACUGCGUUUGAAACUACAAGGCUAGAGUGUGGCAGAGGGGGGUGGAAUUCCACGUGUAGCAGUGAAAUGCGUAGAGAUGUGGAGGAACACCGAUGGCGAAGGCAGCCCCCUGGGUUAACACUGACGCUCAGGCACGAAAGCGUGGGGAGCAAACAGG
rnacentral:rRNA from 1 species